rnacentral:rRNA from 1 species
AGCGAACGCUGGCGGCAUGCCUAACACAUGCAAGUCGAACGAACUCUUCGGAGUUAGUGGCGGACGGGUGAGUAACACGUGGGAACGUGCCUUUAGGUUCGGAAUAACUCAGGGAAACUUGUGCUAAUACCGAAUGUGCCCUUCGGGGGAAAGAUUUAUCGCCUUUAGAGCGGCCCGCGUCUGAUUAGCUAGUUGGUGAGGUAAAGGCUCACCAAGGCGACGAUCAGUAGCUGGUCUGAGAGGAUGAUCAGCCACAUUGGGACUGAGACACGGCCCAAACUCCUACGGGAGGCAGCAGUGGGGAAUCUUGCGCAAUGGGCGAAAGCCUGACGCAGCCAUGCCGCGUGAAUGAUGAAGGUCUUAGGAUUGUAAAAUUCUUUCACCGGGGACGAUAAUGACGGUACCCGGAGAAGAAGCCCCGGCUAACUUCGUG